UUAUCUGAACUUUUUCAUGACAGUGUCCUCGUCAAGCUCUAGGCUCCAAAGAUUGUGGCUAUUAUGUUUGUCGUUACAUGAUUGAAACUAUCGCAAGUAGACGACAAUUAAUUCUUGAUAAGUACUUUCCAGGGAUUCCUAGCACUUAUUCCCAAGAGAUGAUUGACGAGUUAAGAGAUAUGUGGGUGGAUUAUUUAAACAAUCAAACACAAGACGAUGGAGAUUGAAGAUGACGAUCAAGUUUGAAUUGUACAUAUUAUUUAAUUAUUUUAGAAUUUUAGUUCUAGUAGCUAGCAUUAGAUUAUAGAAAUUUUAUUUUAAGACAUUAUUAGAAGAAAUUGAUGUUUUGAAUAAAAUUGAUUUUGUAUAUAAAUUAAAUGUAGCAAAUAUUUUUUUCACAUGAUGAAUAAAGCAAGCAAGUCGUUAUAUCUAAUAAUAUUGUUGUGGCUAUUUAUAAAUUGUUAUACAAACCUGUCAAAAAAAUAAAAAAAAAAUAAA